GGGGGCUUCUUUCCUUUACCCUGUUUUAUUGUUUUCAAUUUUUUUUUACCUUUUUUAAUUUUGUUUGAUUUUUAACUGACAGAUAAUUGUAUAUAAUUAUGGGUUUCAAUGUGAUACCUGCAUACAUUGGGGAUGGUUAAAUCUAGGCAGCUAUCAUGUCUGUCACUUUACAUAUUUAUGACUUCUUCAUGGUAAAAACAUUUUGAAGCUCCCUUGUGAGCAAUUUUGAAAUAUUGAGUAGAUUAUUAAUAACUCUAAGUGCCAUUAAUGAGCAAUGGGUUGCAAAAAUGUAAUCUCAUCCAGUGGAAAUGCUGUAGCUUUCAGCCAGCAUCAUUCUACUUCCUCACCAAAGUCCUGCAGCCCCUGGUUACUACCGCUCUGCUCUCUGCUCCAUGAAGCUAAGUUUUCAGCUUCCACACAUAGGAGAGACGGUGUGUUUCCUGUCCCUGUGGGCCAGGCUCACUUCACUUCUCAAUGCAAUGAGUGAGGUAGAGAAGGAAACAGGUGUUGGUGACCUGCCUGGGCCUUUCUGUGUGUGGUCAGGAACAGCAGAGGGUACAGAUAAGAUAGCCAGGGGUGGAUACAGCUGGGUUCAGAACAGGAAGAGACAUGAAAGUAUUUCUGAAAGACCAAGGAAAUGGAAGGGCACUGGCCAAAAUGCUUCCUGCCCUAGCUUGUCAGCUCUGGAAGAGUCCACAGAAAUCCUGCCAGAGAGAAGGGUUUACCUGUAUUGCUUUCCUUAUUAUUUUGUAUCUUAAGACUUCUAUUUAUUAAUUAUAUUGACUUCAUUUUUCCAUCAUGUAAACAUAUAUCAAAACAUAUCUAAUUGUUGUCCAUAACCAUAUGCAUUUAACUAUUGUCAAUUAACAUUAAAUUUAAAUACAUCUAAAGGUUUUUCAUUGUAUAGUAUAGCUCUCACUAGAGUACUGUUAUUUAAAUCCACAAACAUAUCUCACAGUCCCUAAGAUAAAACUCUAAGUAAAUCAAGUGUGCAAAUGCAAAUAAUUUGAAUGUGAUAAAAUUCCACUGUAACAUUGGCAUGAGGAGUGGCUUUGAAACUAUCACUGAAAAGAAAAUGAGGUAGCAAGAAAAUAUUGGAAAUUGGGCAACAUAAAAUAGACAUUCAUUCACAUUAUACACACAAACAGAAGACCAUGUCCAAUUAGAAAUGAUAUAUUGCUUAUGAAAUUGUAUGCAAUUGCCAAAGUGCAAAUAAGAAUAUAAUCAGGAAAGACAUACUUACAGGUAAUAUUUUAUAAUCAUAUAAUACAUAUAAAAUUAUCAUCCAGCCAUAAACACAUAUGCACAUCAAUUUUAAUUAAGAAAAUAGAAGAGGGGCUGGGACUUAGCUCAGUGGCAUAAGUGCCUAUCUGGCAACCUUAAGGUUAUAAGUUCAAUCCCCAGUACCAAAAAAAAGAAAAUAGAAGAAUGACAAAGGAUAUGAAUUGUAAUUGAUAAAAAAGUGCAAGAGGGCACUCUUACUGAUGAAUAGGUGUUCACAUUUACCUAUAUCAAAGAGAAAUACAAAAUUAAAUAUGAACAAAAUGCCAUCUUAUCUUCUUAGAUAAAAUUCAGAGCAUUAUUUACCUACUGCUUUUAGUAAUUAUUAUAAUAGUUAGAUUUGUCCUGGUGCUGUUGGUAGAAAUGCAACAGUGGAAAAUCCACACUGAGGGGGAAAUGUCAGUACCCACGAAAAGAGCAUGUGCAUUUAUAUUUUUGCCCCAAAAUAUACAUUUGGAGAACAGAAAUGGAACCUUCAGUGAUAAAAAAAAAAAAAGUCCACACCCCAAAGUGUAUUAGCAGAAACACUAUCUGCACUUGAGAACUCUCUGGAAGAACUCUGAAAUGCCACCAAAGGGUAAACAAGAUAGAUUGAGUUCAUGUUCCACAGGGAGUGUUUUGCCUCUGAAAAAAGAGCAGAAAGUUUCCUUUGUCUGGAGUGAUUUCCAGGAUGUACUGUUAAGUGAAAAGAACCAACUACUAAAGCCAAGAAAAAGCAGUGCUGGAUAAACAUGGAUAUUAAUACAAGAAUGAAGGAAAAUUCUAGAAACCCUAGAAGCCUCUAGUAUUGUUGCAGAAGAAAUCCUGCCAGAAACAACCACAUUCUAGAGGGAUUUAGAAAACAAGGGUACUGUGAACAACGCUAUUUAUAUGCAAAUGAACACAAUCUUGAGCAGCAAAAUCUUUUCCUACAAGUGUCAGAAGCUCUUACUUUAGUAAGUGAACUUUAAAGGAGGAACGUUAUGUUUACACUGACUCAGGAUGUCCUGCUACAAAUCAGUUAUUCGUUAUGAACUGCAAGUGAACAUUUCCUGGGGAAAAACCUGGUGGAUGCCAAAUUACCCAAACUCCCAAAGCAAACAGUCACCAAUAAGGAGACCCAAAGGGCAGUAUUACUGGAGAGGGUCUGACUGGAAUGCAAGCCCAUCUCAUCACCAGGUGUUGGACAGUGGUGUGUCCUUAGAAUUGUAUCAUGACCUCAAAAUCUUGUUCAGCAUCCAGCAGCACUGUCUCUGGAGACCCCAGGCUCCAAAUCGUGUCCAGAAUCCCCUUCUUUUCCAUCAGCCCUUGGUCACCUCACUCACUAGCACCAGCUAUGAAAGAAAGGCCACCAGAAGGAAGGCCACUCAAAGCCCUGGUGAAAUGGUUGCUUGCCUGAUCAGUCCCCAUGGGAUCCCAAGACUAGGACGACAUGGAGAUGACCACAGCCCCUGAGGCUGGGGAGAAGUGGCAUCCUGACUUAGGAGGCUGCUUCUGACUAUUUGGUGUUGGAUUCCAUGUACUCCAUGAAAAUGUCUGAUGUGUACAACUGGGGUCUGACAGCAGAUGUUCCCAAGAAAAGAGGAAUUGUGCAUCUUAUUGGGGACCAAUGUAGGAACUGGUGUGUUGGGAAAUAGCUCUUUUGCUUCCUCUAAAACAAAGACAGAGUGGAUGCCUGCCCAUUGCAUCUUUGCACCAGUGAGAGCUCCAGGGUCUCUUCUCCUCCCUCACCUAGCAGGGUGGGCAGGAAGUGCACCAGGAUUCUGACACCCAGGGCUGCCUUCUCCAAGUAGAGGACAACCAACCAAGCGUAGAGGAUAUGGUGUGUCUGGCACACGGGAGGCACAAAUGCUGAGAAAGCUCCACUCUCGAGGCCAAGGCACCUGCUGCCUAAGGCUGACGCUGAUGAGAUGCAAGAAAGUUCUCCAGCAACGAGCAGUAAGAGCAGUGCAUGCUGGGGAGUAGUCAAGGGGCCACCAACUUCCUCUACGUUCAGUUGUGGGAUUUCUGUCUCCCAGGAGGAAAUGUGACUUCACUUCAUUGCCAGUGGACAGAACAUUCUACCUGUGUUACAUGAGGAGAACUGGAGUACAUGUUAGCAGCUGGUUUGACACUUUAAUUUCAAGGUGGAAGGAAACUGAUCACAAAUCUCUGAUUCCAAUCUCAAACCAAUUGCAUCAGAAAGAAAGUUCCAGACACCAGGAUAGGACAGUUCCAAGCAAGGUGGAGGAGAAACAGAGCAAGUUAAGGACAAUAGAUGUGUCUAGAAUGAUACAGUAAAAUGGAGCCUCAGACCUCCACAGAUAUCUGAAGAUUCCAUGUUGAAUUCUAACAGACACCACUUUAGUGUGAAGAAAUAGGGAACAGUUGUGACCUGAUAAAAUGAAGACAUCUAGUUAACCAAGAUGAGCUUUAAGGUACGUUACUGACCACCAAAAAUAUGUAACAUGUGCUGUUAUGUAUUAAAAACUAGUGGUCAACUUAGCGCCACCUAUAUUACAUCAGCGUGGUGCUGAGCGUAGAUGUUCCAUCCAAGGAAAGUUUCUAGCAUAAAUAGAUGGAAAAGGAGAAGGAAGGCAUUAAGGCAUUAAUGCAUUGCUGCGUUGAUGCAUUGAGGCAUUGUGAGUUCUCCUAUGAGUUGCUGUUUCAGCCAUUGGUUCUCCUGGAGAAGCUCUGGUCCUCAUAUGAAGCAUUGCUUCCCUAGCUCCAGAGGGGAAAAUGUGUGUCACUUGGUCUCUAGGAUGAACUCGUCAUGCUGGCUUCCUGGCAUGUACCCAACUGUGCUUGUCAUCAGAGGAGCUCGGGGCCUCCGUGUCGCUGAGGAUGGCUGUGGUGCUUUUCAGGACAACCCUGGUCUUUGUUGUGAGUGUAAUUUCAUGGCUCUAGCAUAGAACCCUCAACCUAUCAGCAUAGCUCCUUCAUCCUCCUGGCAUAGACUUCCUAGUUUCCAUGGCAGACCUUUGGGACUUCCCAGCAUGGAUCCGUAAAAGAAACUGGCGGGAGUCCUUCUUGUGGGCUCUAGACUCCAAUUGCACUCAUGGGAGGCAUUGUCAUGAGCUCUGGGUCUUCAUUUGGACUCAUGUGGGACAUUGCUGUGGGAUUCAGGCCCUUGGCUCAAUAUUCUGUUUUUAGUGUUGUGGAUAGAUUUCCAAAAUUUUCUUGUGUUAACUCUGGGUGACCAUCAUAAAACAAUAUUAUAAAAUACAUGUCUCAAUUCUAAUUGUUCUUUGCACAACCCUUGACUACAACACAUGCUAAAAGAAGACACCAAAAUUUAGUGUUCAACAAUACAAAUUUAUAAUAUUCCCCAUUCCAUCAAAACUAUGGAGCAUAUAAAGAAAUUUAAAAUAUGUACAUAACUAGGAGUAAGAUAACAGAGUCUGGGGGGAAGGAAAAAUGGAGAAAAAGAUGUAUUGUCUGAAGAGUUUCAAGUUUCAUUUGGACUGGACUGUAUUUCAGAGAUGCAUUGCACUGCAAGGUGAUUAGUUAAUAAAAAUAUGUUGUAUUUUUCAAAAUUGCUAAAAGUAUAGAUAUUACGAGUUUUUACCACAAAAAUAAUACAGUGUGUGAGGUAUAUGUUAAUGAACCUCAUAUAAUUAUUCACAAAAUAAUUAAACAUCAAAAUAUCAUGUUAUCUGUCUUGGUUACUUUUCUCUCAUUGCUGAGACAGAAUAGAGUUCUUGAAUGACUCAUGGUCCAAUGCUGGGAUUAUGGGUGUGAGUGCAAAGCAAGGAAAGGUUUAUUUAGCUCACAGUUUGUGGAGGUUUCAGUCUGUAAUCAGCUGGUUCCAAGGCAGAGUGUCACACGGCAGAGAGCAAUGGUUCAUGGUGGCAGAAAACAACACAAGCAACAGGAGCAAAAGGUGAGGAGCACAGAGAGAACACUCUUUCUGUCCCUUAUACUGUAGGUAGGCCACAUGCACUUGGGUGCAAUACUCACACCCAUAAUCACAUCAUUGGAUCAUGAGUCAUUUAAAAACUCUAGAACCCUGCCUCCAUGACUGCAUGAGGCUUUUGAGGGGAUAUUCAGACACAAACUAUAACAGGCCUGAAAGAAUUAAUUUCUAAUAAAAAUGAAAUUAAAAUAUGCCCAGCUAGCUAAAAAUUGAGAGACUUUGUUACUGAAAACUUUAUUGCACAAUAAAUAUAAAAUUAUUUGUGCCAAAGUUUAGUGACACUGGUUGGAAACUCAAGUUUAAAAGAAGACUCAAGAGUGUUAAGUACUAUAAAUAUGUGUGUGAAUCUUUGCAACAUUUCUCACAUCCAGCAAUGUGCAUUUUACAUGAACUCUAUUUCACACAAAGACACGAGUAAGCUAUAAAAUAAUGACUAAUUGUAACUAUACUGCAUAACUCUAAAUAUACUAAUGGUUCAUGAUUUUAUAUUGUCAUGGUUGAAUUCUGUUACAUAUAAAAUUUAUGGCUGAGCAUGGUGCUUACACCUAUAUUCCCAGCUCCUUGGAGGGCUUGAGGCAAGAAGAUCGUGACUUUGGGGGCACCCUGAACAGCAGAGUGAGAAGCUGUCUCAGAAUUAAAAAUUCUUUAGUAAGAGAGCUGAGGAUGUCACGCAGUAGACAGCACUUGCCUAGCAUGGGUAAGACCCUGGGAUGAAUUCCUAGUACCCCAGAAAGCAUGCAACACUGUAAAUAUUUUAAGUUAAGAAAUGGAAGGUUUUAAUCCCAUAGAGAAGAUGGAAAGCAUGACAGAGUAAUGGGGGUGGGGCAGCAGCAUGCAUACCCCCAGAACUUGGGAAGCACAAAGAGGAUCAUGUUGAUACAGUGAGAGAAACAGAGGAGCCAAACUCAGAAAAUCAAAUACCUUAUGUUUUUCCUCCUAUGAGAGUAGAGGCCUUUUAAAUGUAAUGGAAAUUUUAAAUCUUCUAUUUCUAAUACUAGUGUGUUUCUAACACUAUUUGAGGAUGAGACUGAGAAGCACAGCCUGUCCCAUAAUUUGGGAGCUGCAAAACUUAACAAGCCUUUGAUUGUAUGAUUUUUUUUCACACCUGUAUCUUGCAAUCUGAACAACUACUUUGAAGAUAGCAAUACACAGUACAUCAACCAUUGUUAACCUCCUAUUAUUUCAUUUUGAAAUUCUGUGUAUCAUCAUUUUUGUUCUUUUUUAGUUUUUUUUUUAUUUUUAAGAGGUUAAGACAAAACAGGACAUAACAGAGCAGAUCAGAACAAUGUAAGCAAAACAGUAUUUCACCAGAAGACAACCUGUAAUUAACAGUAACUACCACGAUAUCUCUUUUUUUUUGAAAUAGUUGAGUAUAACGUCAUAUACAAUAGUAUCAAACAAAAUAGUAUAAAAGCAUUCAAGAGAAUGAGAGUAUUACAGGAUUUUCAGAAACAAAUAACAGAAAACAAACAAUGGCUACAAUAUUAUCUCAUUUUUCAUAAGAAAUCUGUUUAUAUUUUCACAUGUAAUAUAAUCCACUAAAGUACAACAUGAGGUAUGUUUAUGGUAUUUUCAUUGGGAUUGCAUUGAAUCCAGUGGAAACAGAGGAGCAAGAACAUGGUAAGACUUCAGAGUUUUAAAAUAAAUGUUUAAAAAACAGGUCAGAGAGCAUGCUGACAGCUUAAUAUGGUUUAAAAAAAAAAAAAAGAAAAGAAAAAGCUUAGUGAGCCUUGACUACUGAGGAUGCCAGCUGGGAGAUUAAGUGUAGCUUAGUCAGACAGUGGUGUUUUGCUUACUUUCCCUGAGAUUUAUCACUUCAAGGGUAACUGUCCAGUCUCAGAUAAUGAUGGACUCUUCCUCCAUGUUAUAUAAUAGUAACCUCAUGUAGUUUGUGCAGAGUAAAUCCUGCCUAGUAAUGUAUAACAAAGACAUACGUAACCAACUGUAGAAUAUUAUGUCAUCUGCAUUUUGUACCUCCUUCUGAAAAUCUUAGGAAGUGAAUUCCAACUGCAAGAUGGAGCUGUUGAUUUGGAACUGACAUUCCUGUUAGUGUAAUAAAUCUAUAUACCUUCCAAAGUUCC